rfam:Oryza glumipatula chromosome 8, whole genome shotgun sequence.
AAAAAGACAAACCCUAUGUCUCCGUGUUCAACUUUAACUGUCAGUCUUAUAUGAAAUUUUUUUAUAACUCGUAUUUUUAUUGUUGUUAGAUGAUAAAACAUGAUUAAUAUUUUAUACGUGACUUGUCUUUUUAAUUUUUUCAUAAUUUUUUUAAAUAAAACGGACGGUUAAAUGUUAGACACGGAAAUUAGAGUUUGUCUUUUUU